rnacentral:sRNA from 1 species
AGACAUGCCUGCGGCCAAGAAGCAGAAGCUGAGCAGUGACGAGAACAGCAAUCCAGACCUCUCUGGAGACGAGAAUGAUGACGCUGUCAGUAUAGAAAGUGGUACAAACACUGAACGCCCUGAUACACCUACAAACACGCCAAAUGCACCUGGAAGGAAAAGUUGGGGAAAGGGAAAAUGGAAGUCAAAGAAAUGCAAAUAUUCUUUCAAAUGUGUAAAUAGUCUCAAGGAAGAUCAUAACCAACCAUUGUUUGGAGUUCAGUUUAACUGGCACAGUAAAGAAGGAGAUCCAUUAGUGUUUGCAACUGUAGGAAGCAACAGAGUUACCUUGUAUGAAUGUCAUUCACAAGGAGAAAUCCGGUUGUUGCAAUCUUACGUGGAUGCUGAUGCUGAUGAAAACUUUUACACUUGUGCAUGGACCUAUGAUAGCAAUACGAGCCAUCCUCUGCUGGCUGUAGCUGGAUCUAGAGGCAUAAUUAGGAUAAUAAAUCCUAUAACAAUGCAGUGUAUAAAGCACUAUGUUGGCCAUGGAAAUGCUAUCAAUGAGCUGAAAUUCCACCCAAGAGAUCCAAAUCUUCUCCUGUCAGUAAGUAAAGAUCAUGCUUUACGAUUAUGGAAUAUCCAGACGGACACUCUGGUGGCAAUAUUUGGAGGCGUAGAAGGGCACAGAGAUGAAGUUCUAAGUGCUGAUUAUGAUCUUUUGGGUGAAAAAAUAAUGUCCUGUGGUAUGGAUCAUUCUCUUAAACUUUGGAGGAUCAAUUCAAAGAGAAUGAUGAAUGCAAUUAAGGAAUCUUAUGAUUAUAAUCCAAAUAAAACUAACAGGCCAUUUAUUUCUCAGAAAAUCCAUUUUCCUGAUUUUUCUACCAGAGACAUACAUAGGAAUUAUGUUGAUUGUGUGCGAUGGUUAGGCGAUUUGAUACUUUCUAAGUCUUGUGAAAAUGCCAUUGUGUGCUGGAAACCUGGCAAGAUGGAAGAUGAUAUAGAUAAAAUUAAACCCAGUGAAUCUAAUGUGACUAUUCUUGGGCGAUUUGAUUACAGCCAGUGUGACAUUUGGUACAUGAGGUUUUCUAUGGAUUUCUGGCAAAAGGUAUCAACAUACUUUUACAUUUUGAAAUGAUCUGACUUAUGAAAGACCAUUGUAAUUCUAGCUUUUUCUGUUGUGUCCAUGUUCUUUUUCCUUUACAAAUCUACCCUGAUGUUUUGUAUUGAUUACUUUGCCCUUUGAUGUCAUUCAUCAAAUACUUUGGUGUUAUUCAUUCUACUUUUGUGGCUCUGCAUAUGAUCUGCAGUGCUUACUUUAAAUUAAGUUGGCAGUUAGGUAUCAAUGAUGGAAAUUAGGUGUUUAUGUUCCAUAACAUAAACAUUAUCAUAACAUUACUAAGACUUAAUGUUUUAGUAAUUAGAUUGUCAGUCUACCUAUGUAACUGUUUCCUAGAGAAAAAUCAGGAUAGAAGACAGAUAAAAUACUAGUUAACUAAAAAUUU